UCGAAGACCAACGGCCUGGUAGAGGGGCCUCUUGUCCCUGCCUCCUCACUGACCCUUGCCAGAUGGGAAAAAAGCGACCACAUAGAAACAUAACCUUUAUUGCACACGGCGCUGGGUCUUUUUUCAUAGAAAAAGGCCUGUAUGUAUUCUGUCCUUACGUCCAGCGUCUCAGCGGAAGAUGCAGAGGCCCUUGGAGAGAAAGAACAACUAACCCUCUCAAAAUUUCUAGGGAAAGAAAGUGAGGCCCAGAGAGAUAAGGGCAUCUGUCCCCAAAAGCCCAUGGAUGGAUUUGAAGGUCACUGUUUUAUCUCAUGCAUGCACAUGCUAAGUUGCUUCAGUUGUGUUGGACUCUUUGCAACCCUAUGAACCACAGCCCGCCAGGCUCCUCAGUCCAUGGGAUUCUCCAG